GACGAACGCUGGCGGCGCUUCUAACACAUGCAAGUCGAACGAGCGAGAGAGAGCUUGCUUUCUCAAGCGAGUGGCGAACGGGUGAGUAACGCGUGAGGAACCUGCCUCAAAGAGGGGGACAACAGUUGGAAACGACUGCUAAUACCGCAUAAGCCCACAGGUCGGCAUCGACCAGAGGGAAAAGGAGCAAUCCGCUUUGAGAUGGCCUCGCGUCCGAUUAGCUAGUUGGUGAGGUAACGGCCCACCAAGGCGACGAUCGGUAGCCGGACUGAGAGGUUGAACGGCCACAUUGGGACUGAGACACGGCCCAGACUCCUACGGGAGGCAGCAGUGGGGAAUAUUGCACAAUGGGGGAAACCCUGAUGCAGCGACGCCGCGUGGAGGAAGAAGGUCUUCGGAUUGUAAACUCCUGUUGUUGAGGAAGAUAAUGACGGUACUCAACAAGGAAGUGACGGCUAACUACGUGCCAGCAGCCGCGGUAAAACGUAGGUCACGAGCGUUGUCCGGAAUUACUGGGUGUAAAGGGAGCGCAGGCGGGAAGACAAGUUGGAAGUGGAAUCUAUGGGCUCAACCCAUAAACUGCUUUCAAAACUGUUUUUCUUGAGUAGUGCAGAGGUAGGCGGAAUUCCCGGUGUAGCGGUGGAAUGCGUAGAUAUCGGGAGGAACACCAGUGGCGAAGGCGGCCUACUGGGCACCAACUGACGCUGAGGCUCGAAAGUGUGGGUAGCAAACAGG
rnacentral:rRNA from 1 species